UAGAGUUUGAUCCUGGCUCAGAUUGAACGCUGGCGGCAGGCCUAACACAUGCAAGUCGAGCGGUAGCACAGAGAGCUUGCUCUCGGGUGACGAGCGGCGGACGGGUGAGUAAUGUCUGGGAAACUGCCUGAUGGAGGGGGAUAACUACUGGAAACGGUAGCUAAUACCGCAUAACGUCGCAAGACCAAAGAGGGGGACCUUCGGGCCUCUUGCCAUCAGAUGUGCCCAGAUGGGAUUAGCUAGUAGGUGGGGUAACGGCUCACCUAGGCGACGAUCCCUAGCUGGUCUGAGAGGAUGACCAGCCACACUGGAACUGAGACACGGUCCAGACUCCUACGGGAGGCAGCAGUGGGGAAUAUUGCACAAUGGGCGCAAGCCUGAUGCAGCCAUGCCGCGUGUAUGAAGAAGGCCUUCGGGUUGUAAAGUACUUUCAGCGAGGAGGAAGGCAUUGUGGUUAAUAACCGCAGUGAUUGACGUUACUCGCAGAAGAAGCACCGGCUAACUCCGUGCCAGCAGCCGCGGUAAUACGGAGGGUGCAAGCGUUAAUCGGAAUUACUGGGCGUAAAGCGCACGCAGGCGGUCUGUCAAGUCGGAUGUGAAAUCCCCGGGCUCAACCUGGGAACUGCAUUCGAAACUGGCAGGCUAGAGUCUUGUAGAGGGGGGUAGAAUUCCAGGUGUAGCGGUGAAAUGCGUAGAGAUCUGGAGGAAUACCGGUGGCGAAGGCGGCCCCCUGGACAAAGACUGACGCUCAGGUGCGAAAGCGUGGGGAGCAAACAGGAUUAGAUACCCUGGUAGUCCACGCCGUAAACGAUGUCGACUUGGAGGUUGUUCCCUUGAGGAGUGGCUUCCGGAGCUAACGCGUUAAGUCGACCGCCUGGGAGUACGGCCGCAAGGUUAAAACUCAAAUGAAUUGACGGGGGCCCGCACAAGCGGUGGAGCAUGUGGUUUAAUUCGAUGCAACGCGAAGAACCUUACCUACUCUUGACAUCCACGGAAUUUAGCAGAGAUGCUUUAGUGCCUUCGGGAACCGUGAGACAGGUGCUGCAUGGCUGUCGUCAGCUCGUGUUGUGAAAUGUUGGGUUAAGUCCCGCAACGAGCGCAACCCUUAUCCUUUGUUGCCAGCGGUUCGGCCGGGAACUCAAAGGAGACUGCCAGUGAUAAACUGGAGGAAGGUGGGGAUGACGUCAAGUCAUCAUGGCCCUUACGAGUAGGGCUACACACGUGCUACAAUGGCGCAUACAAAGAGAAGCGACCUCGCGAGAGCAAGCGGACCUCAUAAAGUGCGUCGUAGUCCGGAUUGGAGUCUGCAACUCGACUCCAUGAAGUCGGAAUCGCUAGUAAUCGUAGAUCAGAAUGCUACGGUGAAUACGUUCCCGGGCCUUGUACACACCGCCCGUCACACCAUGGGAGUGGGUUGCAAAAGAAGUAGGUAGCUUAACCUUCGGGAGGGCGCUUACCACUUUGUGAUUCAUGACUGGGGUGAAGUCGUAACCAAGGUAACC
rnacentral:rRNA from 1 species